AUUGAACGCUGGCGGCAGGCCUAACACAUGCAAGUCGAACGAGCGGCGGACGGGUGAGUAAUGUCUGGGAAUCUGCCUGAUGGAGGGGGAUAACUACUGGAAACGGUAGCUAAUACCGCCUACCCUCAGCUGUGCCCAGAUGGGAUUAGCUUGGUGGUGGGGUAACGGCUCACCAAGGCGACGACCCCUAGCUGGUCUGAGAGGAUGACCAGCCACACGGGAACUGAGACACGGUCCAGACUCCGACGGGAGGCAGCAGUGGGGAAUAUUGCACAAGGGGCGCAAGCCUGAUGCAGCCAUGCCGCGUGUAUGAAGAAGGCCUUCGGGUUGUAAAGUACUUUCAGCGGGGAGGCGUUACCCGCAGAAGAAGCACCGGCUAACUCCGUGCCAGCCGCCGCGGUAAUUC
rnacentral:rRNA from 1 species